AGAAAUGUCGUAUUGCAGUUGAAUUUAAACCGCCUUUGAGGGCGUGUUGACGCAGUUCGCGAAUCAUAACAAACGCAGCGAAGGUGUCCAAUGUAACUUGUAUAUUUAUCGGUUUAGGAAAUCGCAUGGAGACAGUCGGUAAAAUUAGCGAACGCAAAGAUGAUGUUAUUCGUACGAUACCAGAAAUGUGGCACAUAUUUCAAGCUUAUAAUCUUUGUGUGGUGAUGUGGCGGUGAUGGAUCUCGUUGAGAAGCUGGACGACGCAAAGAACGUCCAAAGCUCCAUGACCUAUAAAGACAACGGCAAAUGUAACCGCACGAUCUGCUAUAACUGCCCAUGAACCAUAAGGGAAACGUCUAUACGACUGUAAACGCCGCCGUGACCACACUGACUAUUACAGACACAAAGUUGUUCAAUGGUAACUCCUCUCCGCUUACUGUAGGGCACAUUUCUCCCCACCGGAAGACUGCAUCAAAGCGGAAAGAUGUAAUCGGUGUGACACUGCACACCUCACUACAACUACAAAAGUGUGAUGCGUGUGCAAUGGUUGCAUCACGGCCGCAUCUAGUACGACUGCAACUGCAACAUCCGGAUAAAGCCAGUUGGUUGGUAUUACGCUACACACUCCAUACUAAAUCCACACAGACCCCGUCUGACCCAGCUGCGCUUUCUAUAUGUUGUAUAACUACAAUCUAUAUGUUGUUGUUGUUUUUUUCAGAAAAAAAAUCAUAAGAACGUAUCAGUUCUUACCUUGAUAGGUAAACACUUUUGUAUUUCUUUUAAAAUCAAAACAUAUUGUCAAAUUAAUUUUCCUCUUUCUUUUUAAUUAUUAUCCAAUAUUGUACCACAAUUAAGUUUGUACAUACAAUAAAUAUUUAAAUCCAUUAUCAAGAGAUGAAGGGGAGAACUCUGUCCUUGAGCGAUUAAAGACAAUUCUGGCAAUAUGUUAAUAGAAAUAUUAUCAAUUUUUAUUAGAUGAAGCUUAUAUUUUUCUUUGUCCAAAAAUGAUUCGUGAGUGCAUCCUCGUAUUAUCAUUUCGAUUAAAUAUGUUAUUCUGUUGUUGUUUUUUUUUCACAUUAAAAUUUAUACAAAUAUAUAAUUUUAGUAAAUAUUUUUUUUUAACGAGAAUUAUAUACAAAUGCAUACAUACAUACCGUAUUCAUGAAAUACAAUAAUAGUGUAUUUUAUUAUAAAAUGAAAAUAAAGUUAUCGAUUUGUAUCAACCUCCAUAUAAAUCUGGUACGUCCUUCCUAUGGCAGCCCUAGUGGCUCUCAAACGCGUCCUCGUGAAUCAGAAACAUAACGCAUAGUUGCUGCAAUCAAAAACCUAUGAUAUUUGAAAAUGAGAAAUCUGUCAAUUAUUCACUACCUCUAAUGCUUAAAGUAGCGCUUAGGUCAUAACCUGCCAUAUAAACCUGGUACGUCCGUCCCCUGGCAGCCUAAGUGACUUUCAAACUUGGCCUUAUAAUCCUGGAAUAGUACACAAAUAAAUAUCAGUUCAUUUGCUUUAUGAUUAUAUAAAGAAGUUUUAUUUGUGAUAGAUUUUGUCUGCACAGUAAAUCAGUAGGAACAGUAUAUAUAUUAAAAUUGCAUUGAAUGAAUUCAACAUAUAGUACUGAUAUGUGCAUGCGCGCUAUUAAAAUGACCUUUUUGGGUUUUUAUAAAUUGCCAAAAUUGAAAAAAAUAUUGUUUCAGAUAUGCAAAUUUUCGUUGUGGUUAUGUCUUUUGCUUGGAAACUGUAACACUGAAAAAAUAUCAAGGUCUUAAAUAUCCAUUAUAUGCAUCGCUGAUGAUUUUACAACAUGAACAAUAUAUUGCGUUAGAAACACUAAAUGAUUGAAUAAUUUGGAAAGGUCUGUUUUUAUCGUUAUAUUCUGUGACAUUACAAGGAUUGAUUAUUAUUAUUAUAUAACAAAUAAAAUUAAAUUAGUAAAAAAAAGAAAGAAUAUAAUAUGCUAGAACAAGAUUUCCUGUAUGUCAUGUUUAGCGUCAAUUGCAAUGCUUAAACGGUCUUUCCUAUAAGUCUACUUAGCUAUUGCCCAAUUCUCAUUUUCUGCAUUGGUUUAAAUAAAUUUGUACAUUAUAUGAAUACAUAUUUUAAAUUAAUUUUAAUUCACAAAUAAAUAUAUAAUUGUAUAAAUAACUUGUUCUAAACAUGACAAAAGAUAUACAAAUAUGAAAAACACAUACAAAAUGUAUUAAGCCAUUAAAUAAUAAAUAACAGUUACAUAAAUACACUAUGAUACAUUUUCUUCGCUGCUAUAUAAACCUGUUACGUCCGUCCCCUGGCAGCCCACGUGACUUUCGAACGUGGCCACGUGAUUCUUGUAGAUAACACAUAUCAAUAAUUAGGUCGAAUGAUGUGUUUUUUCUGACCAUGUGAUUAUUUAACAUGACAAAUCAUGUUUACAAUACCGCUAAGGUCAUAAACUGCCACAUGAAUCUGGUACGUCCGUCCCCUGGCAGCCCAAGUGGCUUUCAAACGUGGCAAAGUUACUCUAGAAUGUACUUACCUGACAGCAUGUAGUGUUGUCAUGCCAUUCGUUGUGCUGUCUGCACAUUUCUUUUGGCGUACACUCUGUCUGUCUUUAGUCUUUUUUCGAUGUACGGUUCUCUGGAAAAACCGUAUGGUCUUUUUUUAGUAUGUGCUGUUUUUCUGAGAUUCAGCAUGAUUUUUUUCCUUUAAUACAUAUGGUUCUCAUUGAGAGCCGUUUGAUGAUGUUUUAAUGUGCGAAACUAUUUAUAUAUUUUCUAAUAUAUGUGUGUUUAUCCAGAAAAAAAUCACGUAUUGCCUUAAUGUAAAACUUUUCGAAGAAACGGUUGGGUCUUUGAUUUAAAAUGUUUGGCUCUCCCUUUAAAACCGUAUGACCUUCGAUUGUAUGCAAAAUUGUAUAAAACAUUAUACGGUGUUUUUUUUCAGUAUGUACAGCUCCUCUAAGAAAACAUAUUAGUUAAACAUCGGACAAACAUGAUAAUUCUGACGUUAAGACAAAUGCUAUGGUACUUCUAUUUAAUAAAUACGGUUGCACUUACAAACGUAUUUUUUAUAUUUUUAUAAUAAACCUCACUCUCAACUAAAAGUCAGAUACGUUUGAGUUGCCUCUUGCUUAAUUUAACAUUGCUUGUUUUUUUUAAUGUUAUCGACCGUGAAAUUAAAGGAAUCAAAUUUGUAUUAAUAAGUGUUACAUCAUGUUUAAUACUCUGAUCUGUUUAAGAUAUUUGUUUGCAUGGUUUUUCAUGCAUAACAUUGCUCAAACAUGUCUUUAUUUAUGUUAAGCUUUCGAAACGUUUAUCGGAUCUUUUUCUAUUAAGUAACUAUAUCUCACACUUUCAAACUAGCCUCACCUUAAUAUGAACAUAAUUUUAAGAAAAUUAAGGUUUUGGCAUAAUUAUGGCCUUUUGUCGGGAGUUGUCGCACAAAGCACAUACAGUAACAGCCUUUUAGUUUGUUCGACGUAUUUUUUGUAUGGUGAAUAAACUCUCAACUUGUCAUCAAUCAAAGCUUUGAAUUCAACCAGUUUCGGCCUAAUAACAAUCCGUUGUAUAUUCGUGUAUAAUAUAUAAUAUUUCCUCUGUAUAUUUGUUAACAAUGUAUUAUGUAUUAUACAUUUGUAACACUUUUUGAGUUAUAUCUCUGUUUUAAUUAUGUAUACGAUAUUAAGUGCGUUUGUAAUUCUUAAUGAUUUUUUUUAUAAAUAUAUUGUAAUUCGCAUUGAAGACUUACAGUUGAGACUAAACUUGAAUUUUAUUUGCUCGAAAAUAUAAUGAAUUUUAUGCAAAGUACAUGCCAAUCUGUUCAUGAAAAAGAAAUCUCCUACCUGGUAACGUACUGUCGAUGUUGACUUUGUUUCAGAACUGUACUUAUUGUACUUAAGGUUGAGUUCAGUAAAAUAACACAUUUGAUUGUACUGUAUUUCACUGUAUUGUAUUGUCUAUGUUUAAUAUUUUUUGUUUAUAUUAAAAUAAACUUUUAUACUUACUUGUGAUAUGUUAAAUUGUUGUUUUGACUAAAUUUCGAAAAUCAA